UACGAAGGGGGCUAGCGUUGCUCGGAAUCACUGGGCGUAAAGCGCACGUAGGCGGUUCUUUAAGUCAGGGGUGAAAUCCUGGAGCUCAACUUCAGAACUGCCUUUGAUACUGGGGAUCUCGAGUCCGGAAGAGGUGAGUGGAACUCCGAGUGUAGAGGUGAAAUUCGUAGAUAUUCGCAAGAACACCAGUGGCGAAGGCGGCUCACUGGCCCGGUACUGACGCUGAGGUGCGAAAGCGUGGGGAGCAAACAGG
rnacentral:rRNA from 1 species